rnacentral:rRNA from 2 species
UUAUGUACCAGAGACAAAGCACUAAUGCACCGGAUCCCAUCAGAACUCCGCAGUUAAGCGUGCUUGGGCGAGAGUAGUACUAGGAUGGGUGACCUCCCGGGAAGUCCUCGUGUUGCACCCC